rnacentral:rRNA from 1 species
GGGCCCGCACAAGCGGUGGAGCAUGUGGUUUAAUUCGAUGCAACGCGCAGAACCUUACCGAGACUUGACAUCCCGUGCCUAUCUGUGAAAGCAGAGUCUGCCUUCGGGCACACGGAGACAGGUGGUGCAUGGUUGUCGUCAGCUCGUGUCGUGAGAUGUUGGGUUAAGUCCCGCAACGAGCGCAACCCCUGUCCUUAGUUACCAGCGAGUAAAGUCGGGGACUCUAAGGAGACAGCCGGUGAAAGCCGGAGGAAGGUGGGG